UUAAACAGGUACUGAUGGGUCAUUUUAAACAGGUACUGAUGGGUCAUGUUAAACAGGUACUGAUGGGUCAUUUUAAACAGGUACUGAUGGGUCAUUUUAAACAGGUACUGAUGGGUCAUUUUAAACAGGUACUGAUGGGUCAUUUUAAACAGGUACUGAUGGGUCAUGUUAAACAGGUACUGAUGGGUCAUUUUAAACAGGUACUGAUGGGUCAUGUUAAACAGGUACUGAUGGGUCAUUUUAAACAGGUACUGAUGGGUCAUUUUAAACAGGUACUGAUGGGUCAUGUUAAACAGGUACUGAUGGGUCAUUUUAAACAGGUACUGAUGGGUCAUUUUAAACAGGUACUGAUGGGUCAUUUUAAACAGGUACUGAUGGGUCAUUUUAAACAGGUACUGAUGGGUCAUUUUAAACAGGUACUGAUGGGUCAAUAAUAUGGCACAGGUCCAGUCCAGUCCAGUCCUCAUACAGAGUGGCUUGUGU